CUCCACAUUGCUACCCCAGACAAACCUGAUAAAAUGAAGGAUCAUCCCUAUGUGUGGUACAUUAACUACUGCUGUCAGGUGUUGCAAGUCUGGUGAUUUCCUGCAUCUUAUUAGUGUCAAAGUUAGUAGUUACAUUA